rnacentral:rRNA from 1 species
AGGUCAAGCUACUAAGAGCGUAGAGUGGAUGCCUUGGCACCGAGAGCCGAUGAAGGACGUGGUAAGCUGCGAAAAGCUUUGGAGAGGCGCAAACAGCCGUUAUAUCCAGAGAUGUCCGAAUGGGGAAACCUAGCUAAGUAAACCUUAGUUAACGUAUGGUGAAUAAAUAGCCAUACGUGGGGAACGUUGGGAACUGAAACAUCUAAGUACCAACAGGAGGAGAAAGAAAAAUCGAUUUCCUAAGUAGUGGCGAGCGAAAGGGAAACAGGCCAAACCUAGUUACAUGUAAUUAGGGGUUAUGGACUGCGUUGUGGCAAGAUUGAGGAUAGCUAAAUUGUCUUGGGAAAGCAAACCGAAGAAGGUGAAAGUCCUGUAAGCGAAAUCUAAUUGAAGCCUAGCAGUAUCCAGAGUACCACGAGACACGAGAAACCUUGUGGGAAGUCGGCGGGACCACCCGCCAAGCCUAAAUACUCCUCGGUGACCGAUAGCGUAUAGUACUGUGAAGGAAAGGUGAAAAGAACCCCGGGAGGGGAGUGAAAGAGAACCUGAAACUCUAUGUUUACAAGCAGUGGAAGCACUAUAUAUGUGCGACCGCGUACUUUUUGUAGAACGGUCCGGCGAGUUAUUGGUAGUGGCAAGGUUAAAUACUAGAAAGUAUGAAGCCGAAGGGAAACCAAGUCUGAAUAGGGCGAUACAGUCACUGCUAAUAGACCCGAAACUGGGUGACCUAUCCAUGGGCAGGUUGAAGUUACCGUAAAAGGUAAUGGAGGACCGAACUCACGUAUGUUGAAAAAUGCGGAGAUGACUUGUGGAUAGCGGAGAAAUUCCAAUCGAACCCAGAGAUAGCUGGUUCUCCUCGAAAUAGCUUUAGGGCUAGCGUUAAAAAAGUCUAAUGGAGGUAAAGCACUGAAUUUCCUAGGGGGGCGAGAGCCUUACCGAAGAAUAUCAAACUAAGAAUGCCAUAAAGAUAUUUUUAACAGUCAGACUAUGGGUGAUAAGAUUCAUAGUCAAAAGGGAAAGAGCCCAGACCAUCAGCUAAGGUCCCAAAGUGUGUGUUAAGUGGAAAAGGAUGUGAGAUUUCACAGACAACUAGGAUGUUGGCUUAGAAGCAGCCAUACAUUAAAAGAGUGCGUAAUAGCUCACUAGUCGAGAGGUCUUGCGCCGAAAAUGUCCGGGGCUAAAACACACCACCGAAGCUAUGGAAUUAGAGCAAUCUAAUUGGUAGAGGAGCGUCGUAACAUCGAAGAAGCAGUACCGGAAGGAGCUGUGGAGAGGUUACGAGUGAGAAUGCCGGAAUGAGUAGCGAGAUAUAAGUGAGAAUCUUAUAGGCCGAAUAUCUAAGGUUUCCAGGGUAAAGCUGAUCUGCCCUGGGUAAGUCGGGACCUAAGGCGAGGACGAAAGUCGUAGUCGAUGGACAACUGGUUGAAAUUCCAGUACUACCUAUUAUCAGAACUGCAGGGACGCAGAAGGAUAGGGAAGGCGCAGAAUGGAAAGCUGCGUGUAAAUGCAAAGUUGCACCUCUUAGGAAAAACCAAGAGGCGAGAAUGAAGCAUGAUACGGACCGAAAUAAAGUAGGGAAGUUCCCAAAUCCACGCUGCCAAGAAAAGCUGCUAUAGCGUAAUAGGUACCCGUACCGCAAACCGACACAGGUAGAUGAGGAGAGAAUCCUAAGGCCGACGGGAGAAGUGUUGUUAAGGAACUCGGCAAAAUGACCCCGUAACUUAGGGAGAAGGGGUGCCAGAGAAAUCUGGCCGCAGAGAAUAGGCCCAAGCAACUGUUUAGCAAAAACACAGGUCUCUGCUAAAUCGAAAGAUGAAGUAUAGGGGCUGACGCCUGCCCGGUGCUGGAAGGUUAAGGGGAGAGGUUAGGAAACGAAGCUUUGAACUUAAGCCCCAGUAAACGGCGGCCGUAACUAUAACGGUCCUAAGGUAGCGAAAUUCCUUGUCAGGUAAGUUCUGACCCGCACGAAAGGCGUAAUGAUUUGGGUACUGUCUCGACAGCACGCCCGGUGAAGUUGUAGUACCAGUGAAGAUGCUGGUUACCCGCGACAGGACGGAAAGACCCCGUGGAGCUUUACUGUAGCUUGAUACUGAGAUUGGGUAUUAGAUGUACAGGAUAGGAGGGAGGCGAAGAAGUAGGCACGCCAGUGUCUAUGGAGCCGAUGUUGGGAUACCUCUCUUGUAAUACUUAAUUUCUAACCAUAGGCCGUAAUCCGGUUUUGGGACAAUGUCAGGCGGACAGUUUGACUGGGGCGGUCGCCUCCGAAAGAGUAACGGAGGCGCUCAAAGGUAACCUCAUAAUGGUUGGAAACCAUUAGAAGAGUGCAAAGGCAGAAGGUUGCUUGACUGCGACACCGACGGGUGGAGCAGGUACGAAAGUAGGACUUAGUGAUCCGGUGGUAUGAAAGUGGGAUUGCCAUCGCUCAACGGAUAAAAGCUACCCCGGGGAUAACAGGCUUAUCUCCCCCAAGAGUUCACAUCGACGGGGAGGUUUGGCACCUCGAUGUCGGCUCAUCGCAUCCUGGAGCUGAAGCAGGUUCCAAGGGUUGGGCUGUUCGCCCAUUAAAGCGGUACGCGAGCUGGGUUCAGAACGUCGUGAGACAGUUCGGUCCCUAUCCGUCGUGGGCGUAGGAAAUUUGAGAGGAGCUGUCCUUAGUACGAGAGGACCGGGAUGGACGGACCGCUGGUGCAUCUGUUAGACUGCCAAGUCUAUAGCAGAGUAGCCAAGUCUGGAUUUGAUAAACGCUGAAGGCAUCUAAGCGUGAAACAGACCUCAAGAUAAGAUUUCCCAUCUGAAAAGAGUAAGACCCCUUGUAGACUACAAGGUUGAUAGGUUGGAGGUGUAAGUGUGGUAACACAUGAAGCUGACCAAUACUAAUGGUUCGAGGGUUUGACCUAUA